rnacentral:rRNA from 1 species
UACGGGGGGGGCAAGCGUUGUUCGGAAUUACUGGGCGUAAAGGGCUCGUAGGCGGCCAACUAAGCCGGAUGUGAAAUCCCCAGGCUCAACUUGGGAACUGCAUCCGAUACUGGAUGGCUUGAAUUCGGGAGAGGGAUGCAGAAUUCCAGGUGUAGCGGUGAAAUGCGUAGAUAUCUGGAGGAAUACCGGUGGCGAAGGCGGCAUCCUGGACCGACAUUGACGCUGAGGAGCGAAAGCUAGGGGAGCAAACGGG